UCUACGGGAUGCAGCAGUGGGGAAUAUUGCACAAUGGGGGGAACCCUGAUGCAGCGACGCCGCGUGAGCGAAGAAGUAUUUCGGUAUGUAAAGCUCUAUCAGCAGGGAAGAAAAUGACGGUACCUGACUAAGAAGCCCCGGCUAACUACGUGCCAGCAGCCGCGGUAAUACGUAGGGGGCAAGCGUUAUCCGGAUUUACUGGGUGUAAAGGUAGCGCAGGCGGCUCGGUAAGUAUGAUGUGAAAUCCCGGGGCUCAACCCCGGGACUGAAUUGGAUACUGUCGUGCUGGAGUAGCGGAGAGGCAAGUGGAAUUCCUAGUGUAGCGGUGAAAUGCGUAGAUAGUAGGAGGAACACCAGUGGCGAAGGCGGCUUGCUGGACGACAACUGACGCUGAGGCUCGAAAGCGUGGGGAGCAAACAGGAUUAGAUACCCUGGUAGUC
rnacentral:rRNA from 1 species